rnacentral:rRNA from 1 species
UACGAAGGGGGCUAGCGUUGUUCGGAAUUACUGGGCGUAAAGCGCGCGCAGGCGGUCUUCCAAGUCAGUGGUGAAAGCCCGGAGCUCAACUCCGGAAUUGCCUUUAAGACUGCAUCGCUAGAAUUGUGGAGAGGUAAGUGGAAUUCCGAGUGUAGAGGUGAAAUUCGUAGAUAUUCGGAAGAACACCAGUGGCGAAGGCGGCCCGCUGGGCAGUGGCUGACGCUGAGGCGCGACAGCGUGGGGAGCAAACAGG